rnacentral:rRNA from 1 species
GAAGGGGGGGGUGCUAUACAUGCAAGUCGAGCGGACCUUUUAAAAGCUUGCUUUUGAAAGGUCAGCGGCGGACGGGUGAGUAACACGUGGGCAACCUGCCUGUAAGACUGGGAUAACUUCGGGAAACCGGAGCUAAUACCGGAUAAUAUAAGGAACCUCCUGGUUCUUUAUUGAAAGAUGGUUUCGGCUAUCACUUACAGAUGGGCCCGCGGCGCAUUAGCUAGUUGGUGAGGUAACGGCUCACCAAGGCGACGAUGCGUAGCCGACCUGAGAGGGUGAUCGGCCACACUGGGACUGAGACACGGCCCAGACUCCUACGGGAGGCAGCAGUAGGGAAUCUUCCACAAUGGACGAAAGUCUGAUGGAGCAACGCCGCGUGAGCGAUGAAGGCCUUCGGGUCGUAAAGCUCUGUUGUUAGGGAAGAACAAGUGCGAGAGUAACUGCUCGCACCUUGACGGUACCUAACCAGAAAGCCACGGCUAACUACGUGCCAGCAGCCGCGGUAAUACGUAGGUGGCAAGCGUUGUCCGGAAUUAUUGGGCGUAAAGCGCGCGCAGGUGGUCCUUUAAGUCUGAUGUGAAAGCCCACGGCUCAACCCGUGGAGGGUCAUUGGAAACUGGGGGACUUGAGUGCAGAAGAGGAAAGUGGAAUUCCAAGUGUAGCGGUGAAAUGCGUAGAGAUUUGGAGGAACACCAGUGGCGAAAGCGACUUUCUGGUCUGUAACUGACACUGAGCGCGAAAGCGUGGGGAGCAAACAGGAUUAGAUACCCUGGUAGUCCACGCCGUAAACGAUGAGUGCUAAGUGUUAGAAGGGUUUCCGCUCCUUUAGUGCUGCAGCUAACGCAUUAAGCACCUCCCGCCUGGGGGAGUACGGUCGCAGGACUGAAACUCAAAGGAAUUGACGGGGGCCCGCCACAAGCGGUGGGAGCAUGGUGGUUAUUCGAAGCACGGCGAGACUUACAGGUCUUGACGUCGUCUGACACUCCUAGAGAAUAGACGUUCCCCGUCGGGGACAGAAGUGACAGGUGGUGCAUGAUGGUCGUCAGCUCUGUCUGGAAAUGUUUGGCUAAGCUCAGCACGAGCGCAGCAUGACUACUUGCCAGCAUCCAGUGUCACUA